CUCCACCAGGCACAGUGCACUCUCCAGGAAGUCGGUACACACACAAAACGACUACCCGUUAAAAAAUGCAGCAGUUCAGGUCACCGGAUGCAGGGAGUGUCUGAGCCUGUUGCUGCCAUCGGCGGGAGGCAGAGAAACUGCGUGCGUGAGGUGCGAGCAGGUGGAUGACCUGAUCCACAUGGUGGCGGAGCUCAAGGAGGAGGUGGAGAGGUUGAGGGAUAUCAGGGAGUGUGAGCGGGAGAUAGACUGGUGGAGUGACUCCCUGCAGGGCCUCAAGGAGAGAUAUCGAGGUGAGACACCCCAGAUGGGGGUGGACCCCCUGCUCUGUCGCCGUCGGGCAGAGGGAGGGGAUCUGGGAGUUGAGGAGGAAUGGAAACAGGUCCCUGCUCGACAUCGCAGGCAAUGCCCUCCCCUUCUGGCCCCACCUUCCCAGGUGCCCUUACGCAACAGGUUUGAGGCCCUGGAGCUCGAGAGACUAGUGCAUGAGGAAGAGGUAGCAAGUGUUCCCAGGAGGAUGCCUAGGGCGAGGAGGUCGACUCCACGCCUCAGGACUGCCUCCACUAAGAAAGACAGAAGGGUUAUUGUUGUGGGAGACUAUCUUCUUAGGGAAACAGAGGGCCCUAUUUGUCGGCCUGACCCUACCCGUAGGGAAGUCUGCUGCCUCCCAGGGGCCAGGGUCAGGGACGUUGCCAGGAAGCUUCCCAACCUGGUUCGCCCCUCAGACUAUUAUCCUCUUUUGAUAGUCCAGGCAGGUAGUGACAACAUUGAAGAGCGAAGCCUGAAAGCUAUCAAACAAGACUUUAGGGGGCUGGGACAGUUAGUGGAUAGAGCGGGAGUGCAGGUAGUGUUUUCAUCCAUCCCUAUGGCGGCAGGGAGGGGUACAGAGAGGACGCGGAAAGCCCACCUGUUAAACACGUGGCUCUGGGGCUGGUGCCAACACAGAAAUCUUGGGUUUUUCGACCAUGGGGCACUUUACUUAGCACCUGGCCUGAUGGCCGCAGACGGGUCCCUAUCUUUUAGGGGAAAAAGG
rnacentral:lncRNA from 1 species